rnacentral:rRNA from 1 species
UACGUAGGGUGCAAGCGUUAUCCGGAAUUAUUGGGCGUAAAGAGCUCGUAGGCGGUUUGUCGCGUCUGCUGUGAAAACUGGAGGCUCAACCUCCAGCCUGCAGCGGGUACGGGCAGACUAGAGUGCGGUAGGGGAGAUUGGAAUUCCUGGUGUAGCGGUGGAAUGCGCAGAUAUCAGGAGGAACACCGAUGGCGAAGGCGGGUCUCUGGGCAACAACUGACGCUGAGGAGCGAAAGCGUGGGGAGCAAACAGG